rnacentral:rRNA from 1 species
UACGGAGGGUGCAAGCGUUAAUCGGAAUUACUGGGCGUAAAGCGCGCGUAGGCGGUGGCGUGAGUCGGAUGUGAAAGCCCCGGGCUCAACCUGGGAAUGGCAUUCGAUACCGCGUUGCUAGAGUUUGGGAGAGGGAAGGGGAAUUCCGGGUGUAGCGGUGAAAUGCGUAGAUAUCUGGAGGAACACCGGUGGCGAAGGCGGCAUCCUGGACCAAUUCUGACGCUGAGGAGCGAAAGCUAGGGGAGCAAACGGG